rnacentral:rRNA from 1 species
GACGAACGCUGGCGGCGUGCUUAACACAUGCAAGUCGAACGGAAAGGCCUCUUUCGGGGGGUACUCGAGUGGCGAACGGGUGAGUAACACGUGAGUAACCUGCCCUUGACUUUGGGAUAACUUCAGGAAACUGGGGCUAAUACCGUAUAGGAGCUCCUGCUGCAUGGUGGGGGUUGGAAAGUUUCGGCGGUUGGGGAUGGACUCGCGGCUUAUCAGCUUGUUGGUGGGGUAGUGGCUUACCAAGGCUUUGACGGGUAGCCGGCCUGAGAGGGUGACCGGCCACAUUGGGACUGAGAUACGGCCCAGACUCCUACGGGAGGCAGCAGGGGGGAAUAUUGCACAAUGGGUGGAAGCCUGAUGCAGCAACGCCGUGUGCGGGAUGACGGCCUUCGGGUUGUAAACCGCUUUCGCUCAUGACGAAGCUUUGUGUGACGGUAGUGGGUAAAGAAGCACCGGCUAACUACGUG